rnacentral:rRNA from 1 species
CAGUCGCCGCUGGAAUACGGAGGGUGCAAGCGUUAUCCGGAUUUAUUGGGUUUAAAGGGUCCGUAGGCGGAUCUGUAAGUCAGUGGUGAAAUCUCACAGCUUAACUGUGAAACUGCCAUUGAUACUGCAGGUCUUGAGUAAAUUUGAAGUGGCUGGAAUAAGUAGUGUAGCGGUGAAAUGCAUAGAUAUUACUUAGAACACCAAUUGCGAAGGCAGGUCACUAAGAUUUAACUGACGCUGAUGGACGAAAGCGUGGGGAGCGAACAGGAUUAGAUACCCCUGUAGUCCCUGUCUCUUAUAC